rnacentral:misc_RNA from 1 species
ACACAUCCAAUACCCAACUUACCAAACCAACCUGUGAACCUAUUACCCUUUUAUUUUUACCCCAUGACACUUUUGACUAACACAAUGUGGUGUGGCGAGCCGAUGCGCAAAGCCCUUGGUCCCCGUGACCCGAGCCAAGCGCCUCACGCUCUCCAUCCAACAAGAUAAUACAAAUUAAGAA